rnacentral:tRNA from 1 species
GCAGGUAUAGCUUAAGUGGUAGAGCUCAUGCUUAGCAUGCACAAGGACCUGGGUUCAAUCCCCAGGGCCUCCU